GCCCGGCUAGCUCAAUCGGAUAGAGCGUCAGACUCUUAAUCUGAAGGCUGCGAGUUCGACCCUCGCGUUGGGCU